AGAAGGGCUGGGUCCACACUCAGGCAGCUGGGCUCCAGCACCUGCCCUCCAAGAUGGUUUGAAAACAUCUGCUUGCACCCACACCUGCAGCACGAAGGCAGCUUUGACAUUGCGAGACAAUGAACACACAAACAGAAAACAGCCAGACCAAAUAUGGGAAGAGAACUCUGAGCCACAGCGACUGUCCAGAGGCCAAACCUCAACUUUCACGGCUAGCCAGAAGCUUUCUGCCCAGGACGGAAUCUCUGACUUCAGAAUCAUGAGGCUUUUGUUUAAGAAUUCCUUAAGACGUUUCAGAUCCUUAAUUCCAGGCCAACCAGUUUGAAGAGCCCCACAGAGGAAGUGAACCAGCAUGAGAAUACAGCAUCUUCAACCCCACCCCAUGACUCCACCCUGCUUCACCCUGCACUUCUCCACCGGUCAGCAGCCCCCGCCCUCAGCCCACUCCAAACCCCUGAAAGUUCCCAGCCCCAAACUCCUCAGGGAGAUGGAUUUGAGGUCUCCUCCCAGUUACAACCUUGCGGUUCAAACUGUCUGCUGCAAACCCUGGGUGGCAGUGUGCUGACUUCCUGCACCCUAGGCAACGGACCUGUCACGGUCACACUCCUAGUGAGCCCCUCUUCCGUCUCCCCAGGCCACAGCCUCCCUCAGCUGUUAUCCUCCUAUUUGUAAAACGGAGGCACCUGGGACCAGCUCCAGCAAGGAGAGUGAGGAUCCGACUCCAGGAAGCACCUCAGGAACAAAGGCCUCAAGGCCAACACCUUCCACGGCACAAGCCCAACAGAGCUGCAGGAACCGUACAAGCAGCGGGAACAUCCCUUUCUCUUCUUGACUAUGUUUUCCCCUGAUGCUUUGCUUUCCACAUAGAAGAGUUUUCCAUUUUCGUGGGGUCAACUCUGCCUUCACUCAUUCAACAAUGAUGGGGGGCUCUGCCCCGCUCCCCCCAGGCUUCAACCACACCUGACUGCCCACCCCUUUGGGCCCUUCCCUGAAGUGACAGACCAGGCUGUGCCCUGGCAGGUGGUCCAGUCUAACAGAAACCCUAAACCAAAGGGACUGUGUGGUGGCUCAAGCCUGUCAUCCCAGCACUUUGGGGGAUGGAUCGAUUUUAGCCUAGGAGUUCAAGACCAGCCUGGGCAAUAUAGUGAGACUCCAUCUCUACAAAAACACUUUUUAAAAAAAUUAGGGGUGCAGUGGUUUAUGCCAAUAAUCCCAGCACUUUGGGAGGCCGAGGUGGACAGAUCGCUCAGAAGUUCCAGACCAGCCUGGGUAACAUGGUGAAACUCUCUGUCUCUAUAUAUGUGUGUGGUAGGGUGGGCCUGUGGUCCCAGCUACUAUAGCAGCUGAGGUGGGAAGAUCGCUUGAGCCCAGGAGGUCCAGGCUGCAAUGAGUUGUGAUCAGGCCACUGCACCCCAGCCUGGCCAACAGAGCAAGACUCUGUCAAAAAAAAAAAAAAGAAAGAAAGAAAAGAGGUCAGGUACGGUGGCUCACGCCUGUAAUUCCAGCACUUUGGGAGCCCGAGGCAGGUGGAUCACGAGGUCAGGAGUUCGAGACCAGCCUGGCCAAUAUGGUGAAACCCCGUCUCUACUAAAAACACAAAAAUUAGCUGCGCAUGAAGGCGCGCGCCUGUAGUCCCAGCUACUCGGGAGGCCGAGGCAGGAGAAUGGUGUGAACCCCGGAGGCGGAGCUUGCAGUGAGCCGAGAUUGCGCCACUGCACUCCAGCCUAGGCGACAGAUCCAGACUCCGUCUCAAAA
rnacentral:lncRNA from 1 species